CCGUAUAUGUUGAGGCGGUUCAAAGCAACGGUCACAGCGUGUCUUUGUCAUUUGGGGCAGUGAGUGACUGUAGGCGGGAGUGAAGGUUGUCACCUCUUUCCUUGGGGAGUCCAGAGGCACAGAGAGGCAGAGCCGCGCAGUAUGGAGUCGGCGAUAGGGAGGGAAGGACUGCUCCCCUCUCCGGAGGGCUGCAGAGCUACUCCUCCGGCGUCUCCUCCGGCCCUGGCACCGGCCCCGGCACUAUCCCUGCCUCGCCAGAACACGAAAACACUCCCCCGCCGAUGCUGGAGACACCCGGCUUUCUAUCUGCAGCAUCAGCGAGAAAGCCCUGCUCGGCGCAGGCUCAGUGCUCACCGCCGCAGUCCCGGACGGAGGAGGGGGGCUCGGGAACGCAGCAUCUUCGCAGCGGGUUAAGUAGGAUUAAUACCAAAUCCCUAUUAUAUUUGCCAAGCAACUUGAAUUUAUCAAAAUUCCCCCUCGUUGUUCUGGAGCUCCAAGAGGAGGAAAUUUUGCUCACAGAGUAAAAGCCGGGCAUGCCAUGUCUUCACAUGCAAUCUCUCUCUGAAUAUGCAAUGUCUUUCCUGCUCGGGAGUGCUGCGUCCUUCACAGUGGAUUGGUUCCUCUUUCGGAGCAGAGGAGAGUAUAAAAGAUCUGGCACAUCUUCAUGAAUCUACUGUAUCAGCUGCCUGUUGAGCAGAAGAGAAAAUAUCCAAGCAAGAUGGCAACUCUGCUGAGUUCUGAAGAAGAACCUUUGAUAUCGUAAUUCAAACACUGUUAUGGAUAAUUGAAUUCUGUGAUGCUCUAUACCUUUGUGUAUGUUAAUACCAAUAUAUGUUAUUGACUAUACCUAAAACAAAAUUUAUAAAUCUACAUAUAUAAAUACUUACUUAUUUGAGAGCUUUAAUGUUUCUGUCUACUUUAUCAAAAACAAUUACUGAUCUCUGGCUGAAAUAAGAGUCAUAUAAAUACACAGUUAUUCUAAAUGAAGGAAAUAAAUAUGGUGGCAAAGGAAGUCAUUUAGAAUAGGACCAAGCUGUUGGUUGCUUAUUGGACAGGCUAUUUGGCUUUGUUCUGCAAUGAUUAAAAGUGCUUCACUAGGUAUUUUAUAAUGUUAAAACUUGCCAUUUCUUUUCAUAUGAAAAGUGCAACAUUAGAAUCCUUAGAGAUUGUAUUGCUAUAAGCCUUAUUUAGCUGUACAGUGCAGAAGCAGACAAUGUUUUUCUUUAAUCCAUUGUUUGACUCUAUCGAGGGCAUGACUAUUCACUGAAAAAAAGGAAGGGCUAUUAACCUGCCACCAUCUGCUGUUAAUGGUGAGCAAAAGAAAGUGUGCAGAGAUGGAGUCCCUUGCACAUUUCCCUGAACUAGAUUAAAACAUAAACAUAUAUACCCACGUGUGUACUGCACAGGUCUUUGGCAUUUAGCCAAAAUGAGAAUUAGAGGCUGGAUAAGACCCUGGUUAUAUCACUCUAAAACAGGAUGCUUUAAUCAUCAAUAGAAGUAGCUAAAUACAUUUUAGGCUGUAAAACACUGACCUAUAUGGUGGUACUGAUCAGCUGGUCCUCUGAUCAGCUUUGCUUCUGAAAUGUUUUAUGUUGCUACCUUAAUUCUCCAAAAUAAGAGUGAAGGAUCUGUAGCCACCCUUUCUGUGGGGAAGUUUACAUAGCCUGGCUUUGAAAUAAUUUGUUCACCUGCUGCCUCACUUGCACUUUUUCCCAUGCACAGAGAGCCAUAGUUUUAUGUCUGCUUUAGCUGUUUUGCAAAGUUUCUUCUCAUAAUUACAUUUUCAGCUUCCUUUAUAAGAGUAAUAAGUACUGUACAGAGGGGGGUUUUAUGACCUACAAUAUAUCUAGAGGAAGAGAGGUACUGAUAAGUUUCCACAUAUUUCAUCUUCUGAUAGAAGCCUGACAUAUCUUCCAGUUCAUUCAUUCUGUGAGAUGAUUAAAAAGUUGCUCUUCAACAAACUAAACCUCAUCCAGGGCUCAGCAGGAAAUAACUGCAAUCUAAGCACAUUAAAGAACAGACAGGGCAAACCAAAGUAUACCUCUUUCUUUCCCUCUUAACAUCAUGGGGAAAAGAGAAAAGCAGUCUAAUAUUGUGAUAAAACUGCAAGCCUGCAGCAGCUGGUUGAUGGGUAAGGAUAUAGAACCUAAUCCAAAGCAUACAGAACUCAAUGGAAGCACUUUGACUAAAUAAGCUUUGCAUUAGGCACCUAGUGAGUGAAUGAUGUUUAAAGCAUUCAUGUAGAUCUUAAGCAGAUGAGUGAAGAAGAAAAUGAUGUGCGUUUGAAUCAAAAUAAAUUCCAUUAAACCACUGGGUGUAAAUGUUAUUUUGCCUGACCUCAGAGAUCAUGUUUAUGACUCAGAAUAAACUGACAUUCUUCAGUGCUGAGUCCUGUCCUCCACUAGUGCAAGCACUCAUGUUGCAUAAAAAGAAGCAUGUUGCAUAUUUUUGAAAUAUAUCUUUAUAUAUAUGUAAAGUUCUUAUGUUGAUACUAAUCUCAAGGUUCAAUACAUUAUAAACACCUGCAGGCUCUUUUUAUCCAUACAUGUGUUUAGUGAGGGCAUUUCUCUCAUCUUAGGGGUUUUUUUUGCAGAAUAAUGCAAGAUUUUUCAAUUUCCUUUCAUGAGUUAAGUUCUACAUUCCUGACAUCAUGCUGAUAAACUUCCCUUUCACCUCUACUCCGUUUUUAAUGACAUUUUCAGUGAAUCUUUGGUUAAUAUGGAGGACAGAAAUUGUUCUACCUCAUGAGGUAGUGUUAAAUACCACUUUCUUUAAUCCAGAAAUAUCUUUCUUAAUACUCCCUAUUAGCAUUUUUCAUAACUACAUCAUGUUUUGGUGGCUGAUAGUCCUUCUCAAGUAGAUUGGCUGCAUCUUUAUUUUCAGCUGAUGAAUUCACAGUUUAAAGCUGAAAAUAUAGUUACAUUGCUCUUUUGUACUAUUAAGUUUAAUCUCAUUUCUGUUAUAGAAGUCAUCAAGGUCAUCUGAUUCUUCCUAUAUGUUUUUAUCAUUUCAUGGUUCUCAGACUUGCUUUACCAACAAAUUUCAGCAACAUGCUCCAAGGUUUUGUGAUCUGGGUUUUAAUUUAAAUAUCAAAAAGAUCUAUGGCAAGACAGCCCAUGAAGAACCCAUCUGAUGAUGCAAACACCUAACACAGUCUGUUGUCCUCUCUCGAUUAGUUCUUUAUCUUCUCAGUCUUAAGUAAUUCUUUUCAUAUCAGAUAGUGUCAAAAACUGUUUUGAAAUCCAGAUAGGUGAGAUCUUCUUUUGCUUUCCUUAGAAGAUAAAUUAUUAAAGAAAGGUGUUGAUAAAAGGUAUUAUAUACUCUUUGAAAUAUUUGGAUAGAUUUUAUUAAGUUUGCUUUGUACUUCUGUGUACUCUGUACUUCUGUACUUGUAUGAAGAAUAGUUCCCCUGUAUUUGGCACUGGUGAGGCUGCAUGUUGAGUGCUGUGUCCAGUUCUGGGCUCCUCAGUAAAAGAAAGACACUGAGGUGCAGGAGUGAGUCCUGAGAAGGGCAACGAAGCUGGUGAAGGGUCUAGAGAGUAAGUCACAUGAGGAGCGGCUGAGGAAGCUGGGGUUGUUUAGCCUGCAGAAAAGGAGGCUCAGAGGUGACCUUAUUGCUCUCUACAACUACAUGAAAGAAGGUUGUAGGAAGGUAGGGGUCAGCCUCUUCUUCCAGGUAACUAGUGACAAGACAAGAGCACAUAGACUCAAGCUGCACCAGGGGAGGUUCAGGUUGGACAUCAGAAAUAAUUUCUUCACGGAAAGUUUUGUUAAAAAUUGGAAUGGACUACCCAGGAAGGUAGUGGAGUAACCAUCCCUGGAGGUGUUCAAGAAACAACUGGAUGUGACAUUUAGUGCCGUGGUCUAGUUGACAAGGUGGCAAUCAGUCAAAGGCUGGACUUUAUGAUCUCAGAGAUCUUUUCCAACCUAAAUGAUUCUGUAAUUCUGUGCUAUUACUCAUUUUUUUGCUUCAGAAUUCAUCUUAAUGCUUUACAUUCUAAAAUCAUCUAAAAAAGCAUAUUGAAACAUCUAUUUAUUUCUUCUCUUCUGUUUCCUUUUCAAAUGUAGGCAGGCCAUUUGCUAUUUUCUAUAAAUGAUCAUCCUGACAUACUUACUAAAAAUCCUUGUUCUAGACUCUUUAGACAUAUAUAUUAAUUUCUUCAGGAUUCUGCAGUGAAAGUUAGGUAGACUCUUGCUUUGAAUAUUUUCUAGUGUUUGAAUUAAUUUCAUUUAAGAUGUGCUCUUCUUCUGUAACUUUGUUUUCAUUGAUCACUUUCCUCAUUUCAGUAUUGCAAUCCUUGUUGAAACCUGAAACACUGUUUAAGUUAUUUGGGUAUUUCCAGGUAAAUAAUUAGAAUUUUACUGAUCUAGCAUGUUCUGCAAAAGUGAAGCCAUUGCUUAGCAAUUUUUUUAAUAAGACUUGAAGGUUUACAUAUGACACUUCAUUAAAGAGUACAAGGACUUACACUAUUUACACUAUUUACAUAUUCUGCUAUUUUACCACUGCAUGUCUGCAUGUCUUUCUUGUCUACAUAUUGCCUACAUAUCAUCUACAUUAGUAUCUGCAAAUUCAUUAAUUUACAUAUCUGAAUGCUUUAUAUGAAAAGAAGGGGAAUGAAAGUGAAGAUAAGUAGAUCAUUGCAGAGCAAAAGAAGCUAUAUUUGACCAAAAGGAAUUUAGAACUUUCAAAGAGUUGAAUAAUGUACAGGUAGAAAACAGGUUGAAGAAACUGAAAACAUGCAUGGGUUUUGUAUUUUACAAGACCAGAGCUAUCCAGAAUGUCAAAGGUCAAUCCAAAUUAUGAGAGACACUACCAGUUGCCAGAUGUUGUCAAGCUGAAUAUACAGAGAGUGUAUAUACAUAUAUAUGAAUAUAUAAAGUCCUUGAUGAACAAAAAAAAUCCAAAAACUAGAAUAAAUCAUUCCAUGAAGAUUCUUCUAUCAAAUACUUUGGAGAAGUUUAGAGAAAUAGAUGAGAACAAGAAGACUAGAAAUAGAAUAGGUAAAGUUUUUUUUAAUUAUGUGAAAAAAUACAAUGAAAAUUUUAUAAGGGAGAAAGGAGAAAGAACAGAUUUCAGAAAACUGAUGGCAUUCCAAUUUUAAUUUUAAAACUAUGCAUUAACACAGCUGGGUGAAGCUACUUCUUAACUAAGUUAUUAGGCUUUUAUUUAUUAACUUUUAUUUUUCUUUUAAAAACAUUUUGGCAUUUUUGUACUAAACUUCCAUUUUUUUUACCUCAUGGGAGACUCCAUGACUCAUAGUGUAAUUUAAAGAGGAUAUAUUUAAUUUACUUCAGUUCCAAGAAGUUCAUGAACACAAAGCAAUGAGAAGAAAACUUUUUUAGUUUCAUCUUAUGUGUCAUUCGUGGAAGAAGUUAUUGACUUAAGUUGGUAUUAUUACUCCUCUGAAAGUUAUAAGUAAGAAUGAUAACUAUUAUGAUUUCAUGACACUUCAAAUAAUAUAUCCCUUUUUUUGGUUGCUUAUUAGUUUACUGAACUUUAGUAUAUAACUUCUUUCCAAGUCUGAAGCUAUAUUUAAAUUUUUGAAAAAGACUGAUUCAGUGAUAUCUGAUAAUGACACUCAUGAUGAAAUUUAUAGACAAGCUUAUUUAAAUUUUUUCAGCACUUUUAUACAUUUCACUAUGAACUUGAGCUUUUAAGAGGUUAACUUUUGGGAGUUUUUGUCUUAUGAUUAAAAUCUAUCCACCCAAGUUUGUUCAAAUAGCAACACACUAAAACACUGCAUUUUACGUAAGUAAAACUUUACAUUUUUUAGAUAAUAAAUUCCACAAAUAUUUUAUUCACAUUUUGUGUAGCCCAACAUGUGGUUAACUAAUACUUUUUGACAAUUUCAGCUCUUUGCCCAGAAACUACAAUACUCCAACAUUAUGUGACCUCUCUUUUGGGACAUAACAAUGCGAAGCAGGAAGUGCCAUGUUUGAACACAGAGGGAUGGAAGUUAGAUCUGAAGAGAGAGAAGAGGAUGAAUAAGGGUUAUUGACUGGUCUAGGUAUCAAUGAAGUAAAAAAAAAACCCUGUGAAAUAUACUAUAAAAUUAUCCCACUUACGCUCUUUCUAAACAGUGAUAACAUUUAGUUGUUUUUCAAAUCACAGCAGCUUACUUGGAAGAUAAAAAGGAUAUGGUCCUGAUGACCAGCCAUGUAAGUAUCAUUAAUACAGCAUAUGAUUAAACUUUUGUUGUGUUUUCAGUUUGUUUGUUUGGGUUUUCACUGGGAAAUGGUCUAGCAAAAAAGAGUAAUAUAAACCCCUCCAAACUAAUAUCAAGAACACUGCUUAUGUUGCCAAAUAUGAAAACUAUACACAAUAUAACAGAAGUUAGAAAAAAAAUUAGAAUAAUGCUGUCAGCAGACCCUUAAUUCAGUGAUUCCAAUCUAAUUACGUGUUCACAUAUUCUUUCUCCACUGAAUUUCAGUUUGAAAUAAAAAUAAAUUCAACUGAAUAAAUUAAAAUACAUAAAUAUUUUUUAAUACAUUAAUACAUAUUUUUAUGUAAUAAUUGUGGCAGGAUAGGCCCACCCUGAAAAAAUCUAAAAUCCAAUCAAGUUAUAAACUGCUGGUGCCAGAGUGUUGUCUUGGUGUUAAAUCAUGCUAAAACCAUGCUGGUCCACCAAACAUUGAAUACACACCCUGCUUUUGAAGCAGGACUUGACAGGUAAGCUAGUCUGUGGGCUUGUAAAUCUGCGACUACUGUCACUUCAUAACUAUAAAAACCCAGUCUAACUUCCAUAUGGCAGAUUCUUCCACUUACUUCCUCGAAGUGUAGAGCUUUUCCCACGAAGCAAGGAGACUUCAUGAUUACUCCCCAAAGGUUGAGAGAGAGAGAGAGACCUGCCCCCUCUCUUGUAUGGUUCUCUCAAGAGAUGUCUACUCUGAUUGAACAAGACACCUAACAUCUUGAAAAAGGAAUGUGAGUUCAAAUGCAAAAUUGUACUGUUUCUCUGUUAGAUAACUUUAGAUAGCUUUUUGUGCAGCCUCUGCUUAAUUUUUUAUUGUACAAAGGUGUUAAACCUUUUAAAUAAUUGUAAUGUAGUUGGAAAUUUCUUUUUAUGUACUGGUACUCCUAAAACUGAUGCUCAUGGUCGACUAUGGUUUUCUCAUACAUUCUAUUUUUGGUGCCUUUUAUGUAAAGAACUGCAUUCAAGAAUGAAAUUAUAACACCCUUCUACUGGAACAUGGAAACACAGCCAUCUGGCAUGUAUGUGUUUCAUCAUUUUGCCAAUUUCUUUGCUACAGCCUAUUUUUGUACUUGGGAGAACCUUCUUAUAUUUGGUCCUUUUGUCAGAGUGAAAAAUUAAUACUGAAAAGCAUACAGUCUAUGUUAAAAACAUCUUCACAAUCUAGACCCUGCUGAAUGAUUUGGUAAGGAUUCCAAAUUACCUAUGCUCACAGAUUAUUAUAUAAUGAAAUUUUGAAGAAUGGCUGAAUUUGUUGUCACCUGCAUGAUUUCAUCAAUUUCCCAGUAUAUUUUUUCCACUGGAUUUUUACAAUGCAGAAAACUUGAUGUCUCUAAGUGCGUUUACUCAGUAUCUCUAUAACUGUGUUUUUAAAGGAAACACAAAGAAGAAGCAAUACAGUUGGGUUAUGAAGAAUCAUACUAUAUAGCAAUUGGAUUUUGACAGAUAGUCAAGGGUUAUUCUUUCUUCUUCUCCAAGAGUGCAACUUCUUAUGUUUUCUCUUUUCACUUUCAUUUUCAUGGAGUGAAAAGGUAAUAUGCAGUUUAAGAUUCACUUUUGUGAAACACCACCAUUCUACAGUACUUCUAAAAAUAUUUCUGGUUAUUCUACUUGCAUUUAAUGAAGAAACUGUAUUUUUAGGUGUUAAUUUAGUGCUAGUUGAGGCCACAACUGAGUAGAUGGAAACAGGAACUGGUCUUUUUAAGCAUACCAAGGGGAUAUAUGUGGUUCUAGGAAACCUUAAUCCAUUUUGUGCCACCCUGGCACAAUGUUUGUGAGGAUUGUUAUUGGCAACUACCAACAAGAAGUUGAAGUCUUAUUUUUCACUCUUAAUUUGAUUCACCAUCUCUAGGCAGAUGAAGAUGAUCCUAUUCAUCUUCCAUCUUUGCAUCCUAGAAUGGGAAGGAGUUAAAGAAUGUGCAACAUCCACUUAAUUUUGCAUAUUCUUGUAUUCCUUUAAGUCUCCCUUACUACAGUGCAUAGGCAUCUCACUGAACUAAAAAAAUCUAGCUCUUAUAUAGGACCUUUUCAAAAAAUCUCUAAUUUUCAAAAGUAAGAAAGGCAAGGCAAGCUUAGGUCAGAAACUCUUCAGAAGAGAAAAAGGUACCAGCCUCUGAACUAUUGCUCAUAAAUUUGCUCCGGUCCACAUUUUUAGUACAUUUUCAGUACUUCAUACUUUGUGACUGUGGUCACAUGAACUAUUAUCUUUCUUCUACUCUGAAACUUUAUUGUUAGAAUUGACCAUCUUUUCUGCACGUGAAUUCAGAGAAUUAUGACACAGAGGUAUAAUAAGGGAUGUUUGCAUCUACCAUUCCCUAGACAGGGAACAGAUAUCUGCUUCUCACUGCAAAUAAAGCACUAUAACCUUGAAAAGCAAGUAGUGGAAAAGAAUUCUGAGAAAUUCCAAAACACAGUGUCAAAAACCCCUGGUGUGUGAAAGCUCAUUUGUAUCAUAUCUGCAUUCUCUGAAUGCUUAACUUCCUUUGUCCAUUAAUAAUGUGAGGGGCUUGGAAGGCUAUUUAGCUACCACCCCCUUGUCAUUUAUGCCAAUAUUUGGGAAUUAAACCAAAGAAUUAGCUAUAACAUAGAUUACAGUCAAAAGAGUCUAUGCAGAAAGCAGCAGUCAGACUAAUAGAAAAUUAGUAAAUUCUCUUGUAUGUCAGGGUUUGGAAGAGAAAUGAUAACACCCAUUAUAGAAAGUAAGUAGUUUUUGAGACCCAAAAAAGAGUUUUUAAAAGAUAAGAGGCUAGAGUUGAUAAGGCUUUUUGGAACACAUACCUAUUCCUUUUGCCUUCAGUAUUGUGCAACUCUGGUAAUUUUAGCAACAUCUUAUUGUCUCUGUAAUUAGGAGUAUAUACAUAUUUUCAUUACAAGCAACAUUUGCCAGACAUAAAGGCUUUCACUAUUUCAAACUAUGCAAGAGGUUUUUAAAGAUGUAGUAGCUAACAUCAGUGCUUAACCUCUUGAUCAUCCUACAAAAUCCAUGAAGACAUUCAGGUCUGAAUUGGAAAUAUAUGCUGAAAUACCUCACUGAAUUGUCAUGAAUCAUCACUGAAAAAAGUCAAGGUACUGGGGACAACAAGAAAAAAAAAUUUUUAGCACCAGAAUAGAACGCUCAAUUUUGUUUUCAUUUAUCCUCUUCUCUGUUGAAGAUUUUGUGUUCUGUAUAUACCUACUGCUAAAAUAAUUUCAGUAUCAAUUCUAUAACACCAUAAUAGAUCACCAGCUGGUCAGUCUUAAUGCCUUUGAGACAAACCAGCUCAGCAUGUCUGGCAAGUUAUUUAAAUUACAUGUCAUCAGAAACUCUAUAAGGAUAAGUGAAACUGCCAUUUUCUGAUACCAAUGGCAGCAGGUAAGCCUCUUGAGAUUGUUUGAAAGAUUUGUCAAAAAUGUGCUUCCUCAAACAGUGAAAAAUAAUCCUUCACAGAAAUUCCAUAGGUGAACUAAAUAAAAGCAGCAUUUUGCUUGUAGUUUACUGUGUUAUGUAAGACAUUCUUACAUCUCUAACAAUAGCAGCAAUUAUUGUAUUAGUAUUAAAACAUAAAAACUCUCAUAUUGGGUCAAUCACAUAUUUAACACAGUGUUUAUUUCCACUCCCAUGCCACCCUUUCCUCCUUUUUUCCCCUUCUCCUUUUUCUUCUUUUUUCUUCUGCUGGCAGCUUGAUCACAUAUAUCGAUAUAACUGUAAAAGUUACAAUGUUCUUCAGCAAAUUAUUGUGGCUUUUAGUUUCUCUCUUUUGUUAAUAUUUCAUAAUUGCUCUUACUAAAUCAAUAAACUUAAGCCUAAAGAGGUAAUCAUAAUAUCUGGAACCACUGUAUUAAAUAACCAGGAUGCUGUUUUACUAACAAUAAGACUUUGAUUAGCUGUAAGGAUUACUGUACCAUACUUCUGUUUUCAGUUUUCAAAAUACUGUUUUUCAUGUACUUUUGUGUUUGCUUGUAAGCAAGACACAUACUGCACUUUCCAAUCAAGAGAAUUAAGGAAAAUCAAAGAAAUGCCCACCUUAGUGUGGUUAAAAAAUACUACACUUAUCACCCACUGCAUUUCUGAUUGACAGUUCUUGAGACUAAGAUUGACAACAUGUAGGAUGUAAUGAGUGGGAAGACGACUGGAGUGUUCAGCUUAUAAAAGAGAGGUCUGCCUUCACAAUAGCACUAGAAGUUGUUACAGUCAUCUGUUACUGCAUUUGAAGAAGAUUAUGAUAAACUGUGUCUCUGGAAAAAAUCCCCAAAUGAUGUAAAUCCUUACUUUUUAAAAUCAUGGAUCGUAUUUAUGGAUCCACACAUUCACCAAAUUGCUUUUUCAGGACAGUGCUGUACUAAUAGUAUUUUUCUUAAGAAGUUAAUAGACAAAGAACAGGGGAAAAAGAGAUAGUAAUGGCCAUUGAAUGGCCAGUCACUUGAGACUAUGCUUACAGUACUAAGUAAAAAACAUUGAACGAGUGAGCUCAUUUCCAUGAUGGUUAGAUAGCCAGCCUCGUUCAGCUUUACCACUUGCUUUUGUGUUUUAGCUAGACUCUUAAGGCCGUGAGAGAUAGCCUUUAAUUUACAGGUCUGGGGGUCUGUUUGCCUAACUAAUGUGAAAACUAUGUUGCACUUCCUAGAAUAGCAGUUUAUAUUAGGAAACUUAGAGGAUCAGGUAUUGGAAGUUUUGAGGUGUGACGUGUGGAUCUGUGCAACUGAGUGAUUAGUCUGUGAGGAUGAUGUUGAGGACUGUGUAGAAUAUAUGGAGGGAAAACUGGUGGAAAACUGACAGAUUUUUAUCUGCAUAGACUUCUGGGAUCAGUUCAUGAAGCAAAAUGUCUCCAAAAGCCUAAGCAGGCUUUUUCUUGAAGAGAGAUAUUUGGAGCACUUUAAAGCAUAAAUAGGGAAAGAAUUACCAGUUAUGCAGGUGUAGAUGAUCAGAGGUCUAGUGCUUAAGCAACCUCCCUCUUUUAUUUAUUAGGACAGAUGGAACUGUAGAUACCAGGAGUCAAGAGAGGGUUCUUUCCCCAUUGUGCAAAGAUUAAAUUAGAAUUGAUUCAUAGGCUAACAAUGAUAAUGCACAAUCCUAAAAAAAGUCACAUCAUGACUCAAAGACAGAGUUCUGUGUUCUCACACUUCUUUCCCACUCUCUUUUUCAGGUAGAGAAAUAUGCCAGAAUGUAUCAGGCUUAUAUUUAGAGCAGAUUACUUUGUGCAACUCCUAUGUAUUGAAGACCUCUAUACCAUUUAUGGUCAAUUUUCUAGUUGACCAUCCUCUAUCCAACUGUAAAGAAUGUGAGUCAAUGGUUCUACAGAAACUCCUUGCUUCUAAUCUUGAUAGCAGUUAUAGAGGCAGCAAAUGUAGGCAGUAUGAAUGCUGAACAGCCACAUAAUUCCUGGUGUAGGCACAAAGCCAGGAUCACAAUCUGGCUCUUCAAGACUUGACACAUUCACAGAACACUGUAAUACAGUAUUGUUUAUUUAUAGAAAUUUGGACAUGUUUGAACUUUCCUACUUUUAUAUCAGAGGAUAAAAUCUGAAGAUAUCUUCUAUGAUCUGUAAGAUGUGUAUCUUUCUGCAAACUCUGAUAGUAAUUAGAGAGUACAAAUUACUCUAGACCUUUCAGAUUCCUUUGCUAUAAUACUGUCAUUUUUUCCUAUGUAUUUUUCUGGUUCUCAGCACUAAAGGAAACUCAUUUGGUUAUUACCUCAAGAUUCUUUCUCUAUUUCUUUUUAUUAUACAGAACCAAUAUGUCCCUAAAUUUAAAGGUAACACAGCAAGUGGGGUGAAAUCAGACAGACGGUAUAGUAAAAAAAAAACCCUUCUAGAAUAGCAUUUGUGCUCAUUUUGGUGUGAAAUUAGUUGUUGGGAGUUCAAGGAUGAAUUUCCCAUACAUAACAGAAAUUUAAUUGGAACAAUUUUCCUGGAACAUUUUAGAAUCUUAAAACAUGGUGUACCCCAAGUUGUGGGAGUAAUUACUGCACAUUAUGUAAGAUUGGAUUGUGAUGUCUUAGUGUUGCACAGGACUUUAAAAGCUAUAUUUUGCACAUGAAUAUUGUUUUUUAAAAUAUGGUGAAAUAGCCAUUUGAAAAGAUUUUGAGGAAAACCUGCAUGCAUGUGCAUCCUGGAAAAGUUUGUAGGCAGUAUGUUCUGUUUCCACUUGUUAACAAGAAUCAAAUAUAUUUAUUAAACAAGCUUACUAUUGUUCAUUACUGAAAUAAACAUGCUGGGUUAAGAAACAUGGCUCUAUAUCCUGUAUCUGUCUUGUUUGACUUAGAUUAAAUUUGACAAGAUGUUCAGGCAUUUGGACAAGCAGACAACAGAGAGAAGAAGGACAUGAGCUGAGAUUGACUGUCCUUUUGUCACCAUUCUCAAGAGGAGGCAUUGUAAUGUUUAGCGGAAUCACAGCAGAAAGGACGAUUCUACCUGCAAGGCAGCAGCUAGCAAUUAAUAUUUGCAAUACCACAGUAUAACUUUAAUGGGGAUAAGUGACUUUGAAACUUUCCCACCUUGCUAUUUUGAGUGCAGCAGUAGAAACAGGGUGCAGGGAAGGAACUCUGCACAUCUUUUACUGCCUAACCAGCAAUUCAGGGAAAGGUGUUUCAGUGCUUAUUUAUCUCUGAAGAAAGGCUUUUGUGCAAAAAACCCUUUCUUUUUCUUUGCCAACUUUAUCAGUUUGUCUAAUGAACAAAAUUACUUUUCUCCAUUAUUUUUGCCCUCUUGUUUCUCUACUUUUAGAUACUACAGAGACCAGAGGAAGAAAGGGGAGAAAGGUUAUCUCCUUUGUUUGCUUUUCUUUAUUCAUGCAGGUAAGUAGCACAUAACCUCAGUUUAUUACAAGUGUUCUCAGCUAUUUCCAUAAAUCCUUCUUCUGAAGUAUGAAAGAUAUAUUUAUACCUUUUUAUUAUAACAGAUGUUAACAAAGAGAUGUAAUGUCUAAAUACUAAAGUCACAACUCACAGAAAAAUCACACCCUUAAAUUCAAGCCAGUUCGCUUUAUUGUGUGCCUAUGCAGGAAACAAGGGAACACAUGUAACCAUUUUCCUCUAAGCAGACUACUUAUCUCACUCACUUGCCUAAGAGCAGGCAGACACAGAGAGAUAUUCUUAUUAGCACAAAGCAAAACAAGCUGUAAAGCAGAAGUUAGGAAGAAGCUGAUCGUAUUGGAGUCAUGAUCCCAUUUCUCCUUUGGAAUGGGGCUGUGUACACACAAGUUGGAUUUUAAACUUGUAUUCUAAUCCUAAAUUUAUUACAAAACCCUGUAAUUUACAGACUGCAUCCAAAACAAUCUCCUAAGAAGGUAUUAUAUUGACUUUUGGACAUCUUUACAUAUUGGGGGGUGGGGACAUUUGUCAGGUAUUUGCUAAAAAGUAAUGAAGAUUUAUGCCUUAGCUGAGAAUGGUCUGGAUUCCAUAAUUUUUCAUUUUCUGACAUUUUAGUAUUUGGGAAUUUUUAAACAGGUGAAUAAUUUUUGCAAGGGAAGAAUGCUAUUGAUAAUCAAGAGUUGGAUAAGGUGAACCCUGCAUUGAUUUUAACAGAGUUUAUGCUUAAGGAAUAUUAGGAUAUGCAUGUGCUUGGUGGUUUUAGAGAAUGUGUCCAUUUAUCAGUGCAGUAACCCCUCAGAAACACUCAAAACUGGUGUAAAGUUGUGGCAAUUUUAAAAUUAUUACUUGGGUAUAUAUUGAAUAAGACUGCUAUUUGGUAGGUAUAAUAAUGUAUUAAAUUUUUGUAAUUCAUGCUGUUACCUAACUCAUUGAAAUAUAAGUGAUUGAGAACUAUGUCCCAUAAGACAAUUUUCCAUUGUCUUAUGCAUUAGUGAUAUUUUUUAAUCAAAUGAAAGAUGAAACAAUUAAAAAAAUUCAGUUACAGUACAGCCAUAAGCUGAUGAAAAAGUGGCUACUCAAAAUUCAUUUAAAUAAGCAUAAAAUUAUUCUCCAUUUUUCCUAGGGUUGCAUUAUUCCUUCUUUCAUUCUGUCUUUUGUGUGCCCAACUUUUCAUUGCAUGGUAUGAUUUAGAUAUACUUGAUCUGAAAGAUAACCUAAUCUCGUGCUUCAAAUUACUUCCUUGGUUCUAAAAAUAUUUUUGAAACAAAUCAGUGAAUUUCAGAAUGAUAUUGGUUCUGCUGAAAUCUUAUCAAGGAGACCUGAAGUCCUACCUAAUUUCUAAACAACUGUUCCAUACAUCUGUAUCCUUUUAUAACCUUGCCUAAAUUUAUAGGCAUCUAAAGGAUUAGUUAACAUCUUGACUGCUUUCACACAUUUUAAAAGUAUUUAUUUUGGGGACAUAAUUGUCUGUUUCAUACUUAUGUCUCUUCUUGAGACUUUUUUUUUUUUUUGCUCUACAGCAAAGCAAGCACACAGAUCUACCAGGGCAUUCUGAAUAAAAAGCCAUCAUUCUGAUCUUUUAGUUUGUAGUCCUAUUCAGCUACUCCAAAAUCACUGGCUGCUUGUAGCACUUGUAAGAGAAAUCUGAGAGUUUCCUUUUUACAUUUUAAUCAGAGACAGAAAAAAAUUACUGUCUUCUAAGUUCUGGAGAGCCACCUUAGUGUUUCUACUGAAUGGUAAAAACAUGUUAUUGAAAGAAACAGAGGCAAUUUGACUCUAAGUAAAUAAUUCCUUUUUUUUUUUUUUCCCCUCAUUGGUGACAUAAUAUAAUACAAAUAUGUAUUAGAAUUGAUAGUAUACAGGAUUCAUUUUUUUCAUUUUUAAUCCUUUGCAGUCAAGAAUCCAGCUCCCUCUUUAAGUGUCAGGCUUCUUGCUGUUUCAGCCUUUUCAGUAUUCUCUUAAGACACAAGUUUAAUUCUUUGCAGUUGAAGCAGACACAGAACCCACCUUUCCAAAUUCCUAAGGUGCUCUAAAUAUAAAAUAUUAAGCAAAAAGUAAAAAAGAACUCCUACAUCUCCUUUGAAAGAUUCACCACUACCUAUCCAUCUUAGGAGAAGCAGAGACAGAUUAGGUCCUGAGCAGAAAGAAUUGCAUAAUGGAAAAAACCCCACAACAUUGAGGAUUUUUGAACUUAAUAUGGGUGUGAUAGGAAUUUUCAGCAAUGCAACCCCUCAUUUUUUGAUGAACUAGGGACUUUAAGCCCUGUUUUUCUGAGAACUGAAUUUUUCCUCACCUCUCCCACAGACACAGCCACCUAGAAUUUAGAUGUGUCAGUUUAAAACAGUCAUCCUGGUCUCCAACCUCUUUUUAAAUUUUCUUUGUUCUUACUUUAUUUCCUUUAGAAUGUAAUUUAAGCUUGAACUUUGAGAACAAUGAUCAUUUCAACUUUCAUUGCUACAGGGUAAAGCCCUUAAUGAUAGCAUAACAAUUCAUUUCCUAAUUUUCUUUAAAAUGGUAGGAAAUAUUUCAACAUUUUGCAAGUAUUCUGCAACACCAGACACUUUUCUGAUGUUAAUAUGCUUUUCUUAAGACAAAGAGUAGUAAGUGCAGCUGUCUUUCCUUUGAAAAUCAAACCCAACUCUUAUCUAGAAGAAGGAAAAAGCAGCAUUUUCUAAAACUUAUCUGUAUCCAUACUUAAAAUACCUCAAAGAUUAGUGAAAAACACUUAGCCUUUUGAAAAAAACACACCACAUAUGCUAUUUAAGUGCAUUUUAAUAGACAAAAGUACCAUUGACUAGAUCAAAUGUUGGUAAAAGCUCCAUGAAAUUCGAAUCAUUUUUUCCCCUCAGCAGUGAGUAUUUCACUCAGUACUAAUCUGUAGAGUGCAAAAGAAAAUUGCCCCAACAUUUCUCGUUAUCAGUUCUCCAUGGAAUGGGAAAGAAAAAGGAUGUAAUUUGUGCCAUUAUUUGCUUUUUAGCAUAAGGAAAAAAAUCACAGUCUCAGUUAAAGCUGAAGUCUGAGCUUUCCUUCUCUGUUUUAUAUCCUCUAGUGACUUUUUGCUAUUAUACUUCAUGUAUAAGUGUAAAGGAGCAUCUUAUAUUCAGGUACACCACCUACACAGAUGGUAUACAUACACAGAACAAUUUCAUAGGGAAUUGACUUUAUUUUUUCCUUUGUUUUUCUUCUUUAAAUAUUAAUAAGUUCAUCUUUUAUAAAUAGAGUACAAACUCCUCUCUAAGUAUUGAAAAGGAUUACAUUUACUGUCUAAAGGUAUAGACUUUCAAAAUAAGUAUGUCCCUUGAACCAGUUAUAGAUGGCUGUUUUCUUCAAAGUAACUGGCUACCUUUUUUGUUUGUUAUGAAUAAAUUGGUUUCAAUAAAUUGUACAUUUGUCUUGUUUUCUGCUGUUCCAGCCUUGACAACCCUGGGCAAUUUCUUUCUUCCUUGAGUCAUCUUAAAACUCAAUGGGACCUUUAUUUGUGGCUUGAGUUUAGGAACUUGAAUCAUAUGCUAACGUGCCUUUAGUGUGCAAAAGCUCACUGUUGGACUUUUUAAAAAGACAGAAAGAAAUUUGUUGUGUUCAAUAGGUUUUCAGUAGUCUUUGAAGAUAGCACCUUGUUUAUCUGAUUCUGUGCAUGAAAAGCUGUCCAAAAGAAGUGAAUAUUACCUGAGCAGUAUUCUUCAUAAUCUUAAAUCAAGAAAUAAUAGCACAUUUCUUUAUAUAUGGCAGAACAGACAAUUGAAUGGCACUGUCUGAUUCUACUGUGAUGUUAUCAUUUUUUAGGUCAUUAUCUUCAGCAAGAGCUUUGCUGUUUUAUCAGCUGCAAUUUAAAAUAGAGGUGCUUCUAAUGUUCUUUCAAAGGCUUAGCUGAUAAUAUCAAGUAAAGUGAAUUUGGGGUUUAGUACAAAUAAUUCUUGUUACCUGAACAAUCAUUCUUUAAGAGAUGCAAAUCAAAAUGAGAGCUAGAAAUGAUGUUCGCAAUGUACCAAAGUUCAGUUUAACAGUAAUGUUACUCCAGGAUAAAACUGAUAUUUUUCUGUUAGCACCAAAGCAGUUUAACUGAUGGUACCAUUAAUAACAUAUGAAAACAUGACACUGACUAGAGAAGAAGAAAGAUGCUAAUUCAGGGAGCCACAUUUGCUUUGAAUGCAAAAAACAAACAAACAAACAAAAGAGUGUUGUGCCUACAGUACAAAGCAACUGUAUGUGUGGCUAAUGUGUUUGGCAGCACUUCAUAGCCUUCAUGGGAAUAUCUUGACCAGGUGAACUAUAUUCAUGUUGACCAGUCCUAUAUUCAUACUACCAUCAUUCAGCAGGGCAGCUCUUACUCUUUUCAACUCCAAAAGAUAUUGCACUGUGUGGUACUGUCUGAUUCUUUCUACUUCAUAAAGACAAACUAUUUGCAACAUCCCUCAUGCUUUGGAGUUAAGUGAUCAUCUAUGGGUCAUUUCCACAUUUUUGUCUAAACGGAAGGUGUCAGACACCACAUCAUUUGUUCUCCACUGAAGAAAUAUAAUGUAGGUUAGCUCAUAAGUUUUUACCUUAAGAUAUCUCAUGUUCUAUAUUAUAAACAAAGUUGCAUGAUUUCAAGAUAGAACAUACCAAAAGUAAAGAAAAAAAGCAGAUAUUUCUUUAAACUACUGGAAUUAUACCUUUUGUCUUUGACAUGGUGUCAUAGUUCCGAUUUUAGCAAGGAAUUUUUCUUUCCCUUCCCCCCCUGCUGUGUGUGCCCUGUGUAUAGGUCAUCAGGUAGCUAUCAGGUGAACAAAAGAAUCAGUCGGUCCACUAAUGGCCGAGAUAUUAAGUCUCCUAGGAAACAGGCAGAUGAAGGAGCUAAAGUCUAUUUUUUUCUCUCAUCUCUGGGGCAAUGGGGGAGCAGGAAUUUUGGUGGGCUGAGGGUAUGGCUGGCACGCUGGUCAGGAGGAGAGGCUGGUGUGCCGGUGGGGUCGGGACCUGCUACGAGCUGCAGACGCUGCCUGGUUCUUUUUUUUUUCCUGUCGGAGGGGAGUUUGCUGCCGCUCUCUGCUCAGCUGUUGCUGGCUGCAGGCCCUGCUUAAAGCGAACUCUAACCAGUUGAAGAUCGUGAGUUUUCUUCCAUUGGGAGAACUUUCUGUUUGAUUACUGGGGUUUUUUUCCUUCCUUUCCCUUCCCCCCACUCCCUCUCUCCUGUCCCAAUGUGGGAAGGGAAGGGGAACCAAGGGGUGUUUUUGUUGUUGUUUUGUUGGUUUUUUUCUCUCCGACAUACCCUGGAAGGUCUUGUUUUUUCCCCCAUCCCAUGUGGCGGCAACCAGGGAUCCAACAGCGUCGCCUGGUGACAGGCACUGGACAUUACAAGUUCUGCACCUCCAGUGAUCCAACAGCGCCACCUGGGGGCUACCAUAGGACACUACAAGUUCUUCAUCUCCAGUAACCCAACAGCACCACCUGGUGAAUGGUACAGGACAUUACAAGUUUUGCAUCUCUAGUGACCCAACAGCGCCUUCUAUUGACUGUGGUUGGAAUUGCACCAAGGGGAGCAAAAAUGGAACUGUUUACUCUUUCUUUUGCUGGUUUAUCGGUUUGUUCUUGAAGGGGAUUAUUGGUGGGUAUAGGAGUAUUGCUUGGUUGUUUUACUUGGUUUUUUUCCGUGUUUCUGUUAAUACACACAUACCUUUUAAUAAAGGGCUGUUAUUUUCCCUUUUCCAUAAUUUGUUUUCCUGCAAUCGGAGCCUCUUAAUUUUGGAUUUAUAAUUGCUUAGAAAAAGAAGUUUGGGUCUUUUCUCCUAACUCAUCCUCAGCAAAAGACCCUUGUCUCAUUUAAACUGGGACACAUGGUAUUGCUUUAAUUGUCCUGGAAAAAUAAUUUAAACUAUUUUUUUUAAGUUAGCUCUAAAAUGUGUGUAAUGAAGUGGUCUGGGAGUGGGCAAAAGGCUAGGAGAGUUAAAAAUAGUGGCAGUUGACCCCAGCUGACCAAAGGAAUAUUGCAUGACAUACGACGUUGUGCUCAGCAAUAAAAUUGACGUGUGGGGAGAGUAGUUUUUUGAAGAUAGCUACUACCUGGAGACAGUUUAGGCAUUGACCAGCUGAUGAGAGGUAGUAAGUGCCUGACUUUACACCGCUUGUUUGUUUGUCUUUCUUUUUUUCACUUAUUAAAUUGUCCUUAUCAUGA